UAAAUGGACCGGAUAAUCGCCCCGCCUCGGCGGGGAGGAAAGUCCGAACACCACAAAAAUGGCGGUUCAUAACAUGAACGGUUGGUAUUGAAAGAUGCCAAUACGGAAAGUGCCACAGAGACAAUACUACCCCGCCUUUGGCGGGAUAAAGGUGAAAAGUCGAUUGAGGUUAGAAUCUUUGAUUCUUGGCCACAAUUGAUUCUCCUGUGCGAGCAGGAUGAAGGGCAAACCCCGCCUGGUGAAAGACCAAAUUAGGUAGGUCGUUUGAUCCCGUCAGUGAUGACGGGGCCAGAGAAAUGAUUAUCACCCCUCACGGGGGACAGAAUUCGGCUUAUAGGUCUAUUUAUUAU
rnacentral:RNase_P_RNA from 1 species